UCGAACGCGAAAGUCCCGCAAGGGAUGAGUAGAGUGGCAAACGGGUGAGUAACACGUGGGUGACCUGCCCUCGAGCGGGGGAUAACGUCCCGAAAGGGACGCUAAUACCGCAUGAUAUCCCGCCUUUGAACAGGUGGAGAUCAAAGCUGGGGAUCGCAAGACCUAGCACUCGAAGAGGGGCCCGCGCCUGAUUAGCUAGUUGGUGAGGUAACGGCUCACCAAGGCGACGAUCAGUAUCCGGCCUGAGAGGGCGGACGGACACACUGGGACUGAGACACGGCCCAGACUCCUACGGGAGGCAGCAGUGGGGAAUUGUUCGC
rnacentral:rRNA from 1 species